rnacentral:rRNA from 1 species
UACGUAGGGAGCAAGCGUUGUCCGGAAUCAUUGGGCGUAAAGCGCGCGUAGGUGGCCCCGUAAGUCCGCUGUGAAAGUCAAAGGCUCAACCUUUGAAAGCCGGUGGAUACUGCGAGGCUAGAGUGCGGAAGAGGCGAGUGGAAUUCCUGGUGUAGCGGUGGAAUGCGCAGAUAUCAGGAGGAACACCAAUAGCGAAGGCAGCUCGCUGGGACGUUACUGACACUGAGGCGCGAAAGCGUGGGGAGCGAACAGG